rnacentral:rRNA from 1 species
CAGCAGCCGCGGUAAUACGUAGGGGGCAAGCGUUGUCCGGAAUUAUUGGGCGUAAAGGGUGCGUAGGCGGCCUUUUAAGUCAGAUGUGAAAGCCCACGGCUUAACCGUGGGAUUGCAUUUGAAACUGGAGGGCUUGAGUAUCGGAGAGGGUAGUGGAAUUCCCAGUGUAGCGGUGAAAUGCGUAGAUAUUGGGAGGAACACCAGUGGCGAAGGCGACUACCUGGACGAAAACUGACGCUGAUGCACGAAAGCUAGGGGAGCAAACAGGAUUAGAUACCCUGGUAGUCCUAGCCGUAAACGAUGGGUACUAGGUGUAGGGGGUUUCGAUACCCUCUGUGCCGGAGUUAACGCAUUAAGUACCCCGCCUGGGGAGUACGUGCGCAAGCAUGAAACUCAAAGGAAUUGACGGGGGCCCGCACAAGCGGUGGAGCAUGUGGUUUAAUUCGAAGCAACGCGAAGAACCUUACCAGGUCUUGACAUCCCUUGACAGCCUCAGAGAUGAGGUUUCUCUUCGGAGCAAGGAGACAGGAGGUGCAUGGCC